rnacentral:rRNA from 1 species
UAGGGAAUCUUCCACAAUGGGCGCAAGCCUGAUGGAGCAACACCGCGUGAGUGAAGAAGGGUUUCGGCUCGUAAAGCUCUGUUGUUGGAGAAGAACGUGCGUGAGAGUAACUGUUCACGCAGUGACGGUAUCCAACCAGAAAGUCACGGCUAACUACGUGCCAGCAGCCGCGGUAAUACGUAGGUGGCAAGCGUUAUCCGGAUUUAUUGGGCGUAAAGCGAGCGCAGGCGGUUGCUUAGGUCUGAUGUGAAAGCCUUCGGCUUAACCGAAGAAGGGCAUCGGAAACCGGGCGACUUGAGUGCAGAAGAGGACAGUGGAACUCCAUGUGUAGCGGUGGAAUGCGUAGAUAUAUGGAAGAACACCAGUGGCGAAGGCGGCUGUCUGGUCUGCAACUGACGCUGAGGCUCGAAAGCAUGGGUAGCGAACAGGAUUAGAUACCCUGGUAGUCCAUGCCGUAAACGAUGAGUGCUAGGUGUUGGAGGGUUUCCGCCCUUCAGUGCCGGAGCUAACGCAUUAAGCACUCCGCCUGGGGAGUACGACCGCAAGGUU